rnacentral:rRNA from 1 species
UGCGAAGGGGGCUAGCGUUGUUCGGAAUUACUGGGCGUAAAGCGUGCGCAGGCGGUUUUCCAAGUCAGUGGUGAAAGCCCGGAGCUCAACUCCGGAAUUGCCAUUGAAACUGUGAAACUUGAGGACGAGAGAGGUGAGUGGAAUUCCCAGUGUAGAGGUGAAAUUCGUAGAUAUCAGGAGGAACACCGGUGGCGAAGGCGGGUCUCUGGGCCGAAACUGACGCUGAGGAGCGAAAGCGUGGGGAGCAAACAGG